GUGGAUGUAGCUCAGCAGUAGAGCACUCGCCUACCAUGUGUGAGGCCCUGGGUUCAAUUCUCAUCACCACA
rnacentral:tRNA from 1 species